rnacentral:lncRNA from 1 species
GAGAACGGGUAGUGCUACUCUAUGAGCCUUCAGUAGAGAGCGUAUAGCUUGGAGAGAGAACGGCAGUGUAUAGUGUGUGUGUUAGGACCUCAUCCCUAUCAGCUGCAGACAUGCCUCAAGAUCAAUUACGCCAAAUGGAAACCGCCAGUCGCGCGCGUAAGGAAGACCCCUUCUGCACCGCGUCUGCAAUAUGGAGGCUCUUUAUUCUGGGAGUGAUCUUCCUGUCCAUUUCACUCGCCGGCUACAUGUCGUCGGGUGUUUACUGUCCAGGGAAUUACGGGAACGGCUGCGUUUUCGAAACCAGGGCGGCGCAUAAUAUCGGCUUGGCGGCUUUGUGUGCUGGAGUUUUCUUCGUAAUUGCCACCGUGAUUGGAUACUGCAAUCAUUCUUGUCGAAAGCAAAAUUGAUUAUUUCAAGAACUGUUCCCGAAGGAUUGUGUUCUUCAUAUACAUUACGUGGGAAGAAUUUCACAUGAUUCUUAACAGCCUAUUCUUGGACGUUUUCUGCGUGUCGUGGCCAUGUCAUGUUCAUGUUGUGUCCAUGUCGUGUUCAUGUCACGAAUGCGGUAUUCUAGUAUGCAAAAGCGUGGCACGUUUGUGUCAGCUGCUUCAGGUU